UUGGGCGGGCAGCUGUUAAGACUUGCAGUGAUGUUUAACUCCUCUCCACGUGAACAUCACAGCAAGUCUGUGCUGCUUCCCGUCCCUAC
rnacentral:pre_miRNA from 22 species